rnacentral:rRNA from 2 species
CGAACUCUGGUAUUGAUUGGUGCUUGCAUCAUGAUUUACAUUUGAGUGAGUGGCGAACUGGUGAGUAACACGUGGGAAACCUGCCCAGAAGCGGGGGAUAACACCUGGAAACAGAUGCUAAUACCGCAUAACAACUUGGACCGCAUGGUCCGAGCUUGAAAGAUGGCUUCGGCUAUCACUUUUGGAUGGUCCCGCGGCGUAUUAGCUAGAUGGUGGGGUAACGGCUCACCAUGGCAAUGAUACGUAGCCGACCUGAGAGGGUAAUCGGCCACAUUGGGACUGAGACACGGCCCAAACUCCUACGGGAGGCAGCAGUAGGGAAUCUUCCACAAUGGACGAAAGUCUGAUGGAGCAACGCCGCGUGAGUGAAGAAGGGUUUCGGCUCGUAAAACUCUGUUGUUAAAGAAGAACAUAUCUGAGAGUAACUGUUCAGGUAUUGACGGUAUUUAACCAGAAAGCCACGGCUAACUACGUGCCAGCAGCCGCGGUAAUACGUAGGUGGCAAGCGUUGUCCGGAUUUAUUGGGCGUAAAGCGAGCGCAGGCGGUUUUUUAAGUCUGAUGUGAAAGCCUUCGGCUCAACCGAAGAAGUGCAUCGGAAACUGGGAAACUUGAGUGCAGAAGAGGACAGUGGAACUCCAUGUGUAGCGGUGAAAUGCGUAGAUAUAUGGAAGAACACCAGUGGCGAAGGCGGCUGUCUGGUCUGUAACUGACGCUGAGGCUCGAAAGUAUGGGUAGCAAACAGGAUUAGAUACCCUGGUAGUCCAUACCGUAAACGAUGAAUGCUAAGUGUUGGAGGGUUUCCGCCCUUCAGUGCUGCAGCUAACGCAUUAAGCAUUCCGCCUGGGGAGUACGGCCGCAAGGCUGAAACUCAAAGGAAUUGACGGGGGCCCGCACAAGCGGUGGAGCAUGUGGUUUAAUUCGAAGCUACGCGAAGAACCUUACCAGGUCUUGACAUACUAUGCAAAUCUAAGAGAUUAGACGUUCCCUUCGGGGACAUGGAUACAGGUGGUGCAUGGUUGUCGUCAGCUCGUGUCGUGAGAUGUUGGGUUAAGUCCCGCAACGAGCGCAACCCUUAUUAUCAGUUGCCAGCAUUAAGUUGGGCACUCUGGUGAGACUGCCGGUGACAAACCGGAGGAAGGUGGGGAUGACGUCAAAUCAUCAUGCCCCUUAUGACCUGGGCUACACACGUGCUACAAUGGAUGGUACAACGAGUUGCGAACUCGCGAGAGUAAGCUAAUCUCUUAAAGCCAUUCUCAGUUCGGAUUGUAGGCUGCAACUCGCCUACAUGAAGUCGGAAUCGCUAGUAAUCGCGGAUCAGCAUGCCGCGGUGAAUACGUUCCCGGGCCUUGUACACACCGCCCGUCACACCAUGAGAGUUUGUAACACCCAAAGUCGGUGGGGUAACCUUUUAGGAACCAGCCGCCUAAGGUGGGACAGAUGAUUAGGG